GGAUUGACACAUCGGUCGUGCCUUAAGGGGUAUGAACUGGUGUAGUCAAUUUCUCACCUUCUGGAGAACCGCGAUGCCCUUAAUUGGGUGUCACGGGGGAACCAGGGACCUUUUACUUUGAAAAAUUUAGAGUAGUUUUAAAGCAGGCAUUUUGCUUGAAUACAUUAGCAUGGAAUAAUAAAUAGGACGGCAUGAUUCUAUUUUGUUGGUUUCUAGGAUCACCGUAAUGAUUAAUAGGGAUAGUUGGG
rnacentral:rRNA from 1 species